UCUAAUAUGACAGAAAGUGUAAUGAGUUUAAGCCUCAUAAAAGAAAAUUUUAAUUUUCUAUUAGAA
rnacentral:tRNA from 2 species